GGUGCAAGCGUUAUCGGAAUACUGGGCGUAAAGCGUGCGCGGGCGGUUUUGUAAGACAGUGGUGAAAUCCCCGGGCUCAACCUGGGAACUGCCAUUGUGACUGCAAGGCUAGAGUGCGGCAGAGGGGGGUGGAAUUCCGCGUGUAGCAGUGAAAUGCGUAGAUAUGCGGAGGAACACCGAUGGCGAAGGCAAUCCCCUGGGCCUGCACUGACGCUCAUGCACGAAAGCGUGGGGAGCAAACAGGAUUAGAUACCCUGGUAGUCAAGGGCG
rnacentral:rRNA from 1 species